UUCGCCGGGCGCGACGCGCUCGCCGCGCUCGACCUGUUGUCGGUAGAGGUGUGGACGCGCGGACUGGAAGCCAUCGCGGGUGGCGGCGAUAAUGACGCCGAACCGGAGGAUACAGCGGGAGGUCUCGCGUUGGCGGUCGCCGGUACGCGUAUGCGUGACAUCUCACUGUUUAAUGGGCAGGCUGAGUUAGUAGGGCACGUGUGGGCCGGCACGGCAGUUCUCCGACGC